rnacentral:lncRNA from 1 species
CCAUUUCCUUCGCCCCGCCCCCACGUUCAUUCCUGAAGCCCCCGCCACGCCUGGGUCGCAGCCAAUUAGAAUUAUGGGCGGAGCCCACACGUGCCUCGCCCCGCCCAUCGACCCGGAACACCGGCCACAGCCUCAGUCAGGACUACAUUUCACAGAAGGGUGGUUGUCGUAACCGGAAACGGCCUUCCCUGGGAACUCCCGGAAAGGUCCCGCCCCUCGGCCUUGUCCCAGGCCUUGGAGAAGCUCGCCGGAAGCUCUUCCGGGCUGAGCCUGCUUUGCGCCGGCGCAGUUUCACCCGGGGCCCGGAUCGCCGUGGAGAUGGGAAUUGUUAGGUCCCAGGCCAGCCUCCUGCCCUGGGAUCCUUCUCUCUCCCCAGCUCACUGUGUAGAGGAUCAAGGCCUGACUUAGCA